rnacentral:rRNA from 1 species
GAUGAACGCUGGCGGCGUGCCUAAUACAUGCAAGUCGAGCGAACAGACGAGGAGCUUGGUCCUCUGACGUUAGCGGCGGACGGGUGAGUAACACGUGGAUAACCUACCUAUAAGACUGGGAUAACUUCGGGAAACCGGAGCUAAUACCGGAUAAUAUAUUGAACCGCAUGGUUCAAUAGUGAAAGACGGUUUUGCUGUCACUUAUAGAUGGAUCCGCGCCGCAUUAGCUAGUUGGUAAGGUAACGGCUUACCAAGGCAACGAUGCGUAGCCGACCUGAGAGGGUGAUCGGCCACACUGGAACUGAGACACGGUCCAGACUCCUACGGGAGGCAGCAGUAGGGAAUCUUCCGCAAUGGGCGAAAGCUUGACGGAGCAACGCCGCGUGAGUGAUGAAGGUCUUCGGAUCGUAAAACUCUGUUAUUAGGGAAGAACAAAUGUGUAAGUAACUAUGCACGUCUUGACGGUACCUAAUCAGAAAGCCACGGCUAACUACGUG